rnacentral:rRNA from 1 species
GAUGAACGCUGGCGGCGUGCCUAAUACAUGCAAGUCGAGCGAAAAGACGAGGAGCUUGCUCCUCUGACGUUAGCGGCGGACGGGUGAGUAACACGUGGAUAACCUACCUAUAAGACUGGGAUAACUUCGGGAAACCGGAGCUAAUACCGGAUAAUAUAUUGAACCGCAUGGUGCAAUAGUGAAAGACGGUUUUGCUGUCACUUAUAGAUGGAUCCGCGCCGCAUUAGCUAGUUGGUAAGGUAACGGCUAACCAAGGCGACGAUGCGUAGCUGACCUGAGAGGGUGAUCGGCCACACUGGAACUGAGACACGGUCCAGACUCCUACGGGAGGCAGCAGUAGGGAAUAUUCCACAAUGGGCGAAAGCCUGACGGAGCAACGCCGCGUGAGUGAUGAAGGUCUUCGGAUCGUAAAACUCUGUUAUUAGGGAAGAACAAAUGUGUAAGUAACUAUGCACGUCUUGACGGUACCUAAUCAGAAAGCCACGGCUAACUACGUG